CCCUUAGAUGCUCUGGGCCGCACGCGCGCUACACUGGUCGAUGCAACGAGUUUCUUUCCUUGGCCGACAGGCCUGGGCAAUCUUUGAACAUCGAUCGUGAUCGGGAUAGAUUCUUGUAAUUUUUGAUCUUAAACGAGGAAUUCCUAGUAAACGCAAGUCAUCAGCUUGCAUUGAUUACGUCCCUGCCCUUUGUACACACCGCCCGUCGCACCUACCGAUUGAAUGGUCCGGUGAAAUCUCCGGACUGGCGUGCACCUCGGUGCCGCCGAGAAGUUGGCUAAACCUUACCAUUUAGAGGAAGGUGAAGUCGUAACA
rnacentral:rRNA from 1 species